rnacentral:rRNA from 1 species
CCCUUAGAUGUUCUGGGCUGCACGCGUGCUACAAUGGCGUUUCCAGCAAGUCUGCGAACCCGAGAGGGCCAGCGGAUCUUCGAAUUGGCGUCGUGAUCGGGACAGUCGAUUGCAAUUAUUUGACUCAAACGAGGAAUUCCUUGUAAUCGCGAUUCAUCAUAUCGCGCUGAAUACGUCCCUGCCCUUUGUACACACCGCCCGUCGCUCCUACCGAUUGAGCGAUCCGGUAAAUGUUUUGGAUUGGUGCCGGGGCGGCUAGCUGCCGGUCGCUACGAAAUUUUGUGAACCUUAUCGCUUAGAGGAAGGAAAAGUUGUAACA